UACGUAGGGUGCAAGCGUUAAUCGGAAUUACUGGGCGUAAAGCGUGCGCAGGCGGUGAUGUAAGACAGUUGUGAAAUCCCCGGGCUCAACCUGGGAACUGCAUCUGUGACUGCAUUGCUAGAGUAUGGGAGAGGGAAGUGGAAUUUCAGGUGUAGCGGUGAAAUGCGUAGAUAUCUGAAGGAACAUCAGUGGCGAAAGCGACUUCCUGGACCAAUACUGACGCUCAUGUGCGAAAGCGUGGGGAGCAAACAGG
rnacentral:rRNA from 1 species